ensembl:lncRNA
GUCAUUGGUUCUGGGAUGAAAGGGUUUCAAGGAGACAGUGGUUUCCCCGGCCCCCCUGGAAGCCGCGGACCUCAAGGUAUCCUAAAGGUGUCUUCUGAAAUAAUAAAUGCGAAAGUGUUAAAACUAAGGCGUGUGAGUGUAUUAGUUGAAAUAAGGUAAUGGCUCAAUAAUAAUACCAUAUAAUAAAACUCAUUGAAUAACCCCAACACAUAUUUUCAUCCUUCUCAAGGUGUAAUGGGGUUUCCUGGAGCAAGAGGGCUUCCAGGUGGUGCUUUUCAUGGGUCGGAAGGUCCCCCAGGUUUUCCUGGCUCUAAGGGGGAUCCUGGAGACCCUGGGGACGAUUACACAGCGCCCCCGGGGCCAGAUGGGGACCCAGGAGGCCAAGGACUACCUGGGGACCGGGGGCCACCUGGACCACCUGAAGACAGAGCCAAGAAGGUGACUCAAGGCCCUCCAGGGAUGAAGGGGAUGAAGGGACUGCUGGGCCUGCCUGGAUACAAGGGUGGCCACGGGAGGAAAGGUGAGGGCCUCAAAUCAAAACAUCCUGUACAUCAGGCGCACAGGAGGAAUGCUCGUAGCAUUAGUCAUCACUUCCACUACUGGUUAGAGCAGUUACGAAAUGAAAUGAGUCACUGCAGUAGGCACGAAUAGUGUACAAUUCUGCAUAGCAAUUACAGUCCUUAAUAUUCAUGCAAACAUAAAUAAAUAAAGAACUAUGUAAUAUCUCAAAUAAGCUGUAUUUUGUACAGCAUUUCAGUGCAUAUAGCGGAAAAAAAGACGAUUCAGAUUUGAGCUGAAGUACUUAUAUUUGAAACAGCCUCAGCACAGUCUAAACGUCUAGUGGUGAGCAUCACCAUGUGUGUGUGUGUGUGUGUGUGGUGUCUUUGGCUGUGUUUCCUGCAGGAGAGAAGGGCAACAUAUGUUAUACGUGUACAGGACAGCCAGGACCAAGAGGUCCCCCCGGACCCCCGGGAAUGCAUGGUGAAAACACACACCUCAUGCAAAGCCAAAUAGAAGCAAUGCUCACCUGGUCUUUCUUAGGAUUGUCUUGUCUCGGUGUCCUCGUCUCUCAUCUGCGUUCAGCUUGCGGUAAGUCACGGUAAAUACUGACUGUGAAGUGGGAUCUCAUGUUGCUCAGGUAACGAUCAGGGACCGGGCGCCCCCGGGGACCAGGGCUUCCCAGGACACGGAGGAUUACCCGGACCCCCUGUAAGAAAAGCUUUUCAAUUAAAAAAACAGUUUUCCCAUUAUCCAACACCCCUACCGGUACGGUCUCUAUAGCGUCCCUCCUCUCUGACAGGGCGACCCUGGGGCAUCGGGCAUGCCAGGCCUCCAGGGUCCAAGGGGAGACUCCGGCUCCUACACCCCAGACGGGGUGAAAGGAGAGCAGGGCGCCCGGGGGCAGCCGGGCAGGACGGGGCCGGAUGGGAGGCAAGGCGGCCGGGGCCGAAAUGGAGGCAAAGGGCUCCCCGGUCCCAAGGGAGACUCGGUGAGCCAUUUUACAAACAUUAGCAAUGUUCAUGUAUCAUGUUGAACACAGAUGUUCUACCAAACUCUUUUUGCUUCUUAAAGUAUACAGAUAAAAGACAUGUUUUGUUCUUUCCCAGCACCCCCUUUCAGAAUCCUCUCGGAGUGCAGAGGGAGCCCGUGGUUACCUGGGUAGACCUGGGUUUCCAGGGACACCGGGACCCGUUGGAUCCGAGGGUCCUUCGGAGGUAGGGUCGGUGGGGUCCGAAGGAGAUAAGGGAGACCCUGGGGUACCGGGUUUGCGCGGAGUUCCUGGACUCUCAGGUAAGAAAUGCACUGAUAACUUACAUUUAUACAGAGUCACACAAGCCUCGACACAUACACACAAGCCCCUCGCUCCCACAUCAACAAGGACCAAUGCUAGUGAGGAAGAACCACGCUAGUCAAAAAUGUUCACAUUGUUUUUGCAUACGCACACAAAGUAGAAUGUGCAGUCUCUACUGAGUGUCAUCAUCUAAUCCUACGUCCCGGUCUUCCACUGGCAGGCCAGAAAGGGGAGCCCAGUUACUGCCACCCCAUCCCCGGCCCGGCAGGGCAUAAUGGUCAAGCAGGAGGACCAGGGACUCCAGGUCAGCACCCAACCCCCCCCCCCCCACCCAAUACUGUGUACCAACUGACCCCCAAAUACUGUGUCCCGACUGACCCCCCAAUACUGUGCACCGACGGACCCCCCAUUCUGUACCGACUGACCCACAAUACUGUGUACCGACUGA